GGAUGUGCGGGCAAUCUGGCUGCGACGCCUGUCACCCCAUGGAUCUCCAAGGCUGAUUCAGCUGACCUGGCUGGUGAGGCGGGUGUCCCCAUCCUCCCUCACGGGUCCAUGUGCAUCCCCCCCGGAAGCUGCAGGGUCUCGGGCGAAGAGGACAACCUUCCCUGACAGAGGAGAGGGCCACUCUUUGGUCCUGGACAUACGAGGAGCUGCGCCCCCCUUCUGGAACCUCCAAACCAGCUCUCAAAGCCAGGAGCUCUGGUGCCGCAUCUCAGCU
ensembl:misc_RNA 7SK 7SK RNA